rnacentral:rRNA from 1 species
AAAGGAAGGGGACCUUCGGCGGCCUAUCGCCUGAAGAUGAGUCCGCGGCCCAUUAGCUUGUUGGUGGGGUAAUGGCCUACCAAGGCGACGAUUGGGUAGCCGGCCUGAGAGGGUGAACGGCCACAUUGGGACUGAGAUACGGCCCAGACUCCUUACGGGAGGCAGCAGUUAAGAAUCUUGCGCAAUGGGCGAAAAGCCUGACGCAGCGACGCCGCGUGGACGAUGAAGGCCUUCGGGUUGUAAAGUCCGAUAAGCAGGGAAGAAUAAGCAAGAUUUAAUAUAUCUUGUGAUGACGGUACCUGCCUAAAGCCCCGGCUAACUACGUGCCAGCAGCCGCGGUAAUACGUAUGGGGCAAGCGUUGUUCGGAAUUAUUGGGCGUAAAGGGCGUCUAGGCGGGGAGUUAAGUUAGGUGUGAAAGCCAUGGGCUCAACCCAUGAAUUGCAUCUAAAACUGAUUCUCUUGAGUUCGGGAGAGGAGAGCGGAAUUCCCGGUGUAGCGGUGAAAUGCGUAGAUNUCGGGAGGAACACCAGUGGCGAAGGCGGCUCUCUGGCCUAGAACUGACGCUGAAGCGCGAAAGCGUGGGGAGCGAACGGGAUUAGAUACCCCGGUAGUCCACGCUGUAAACGUUGUGUACUACGUGUUAGUGGCUUGUCCUCUAGUACCGAAGCUAACGCAUUAAGUACACCGCCUGGGGAGUACGCCCGCAAGGGUGAAACUCCAAGAAAUUGACCGGGGCCCGCACAAGCGGUGGAGCAUGUGGUUUAAUCCAAUGAUACGCGAAGAACCUUACCUGGGCUUGAACUGUACCCGACAGGUGUAGAGAUACACCCUCCUUCGGGCGGGUAUAGAGGUGCUGCAUGGUUGUCGUCAGCUCGUGUCGUGAGAUGUUGGGUUAAGUCCCGCAACGAGCGCAACCCGUACCCCUUGGUGCCAUCAGGUAAUGCUGAGCACUCUAGGGGAACUGCCGGUGACAAACCGGAGGAA